rnacentral:rRNA from 1 species
GAUGAACGCUAGCUAUAGGCUUAACACAUGCAAGUCGAGGGGAAACGUCAUUAUGUGCUUGCACAUUUUGGACGUCGACCGGCGCACGGGUGAGUAUCGCGUAUCCAACCUGCCCUUUACUUGGGGAUACCCCGUUGAAAGACGGCCUAAUACCCGAUGUAAUUCAUUGAUGGCAUCAGAUAUGAAUAAAAGAUUUAUCGGUAAAGGAUGGGGAUGCGUCUGAUUAGCUUGUUGGUGAGGUAACGGCUCACCAAGGCGACGAUCAGUAGGGGUUCUGAGAGGAAGGUCCCCCACAUUGGAACUGAGACACGGUCCAAACUCCUACGGGAGGCAGCAGUGAGGAAUAUUGGUCAAUGGGCGCAAGCCUGAACCAGCCAAGUAGCGUGCAGGAAGACGGCCCUAUGGGUUGUAAACUGCUUUUAUACGAGAAUAAUUUGAUGCACGUGUGCGUUAUUGCAUGUAUCGUAUGAAUAAGGACCGGCUAAUUCCGUG